AGAGUUUGAUCAUGGCUCAGGAUGAACGCUAGCUACAGGCUUAACACAUGCAAGUCGAGGGGAAACGAUAUUGGAAGCCUGCUUCCGAUAGGCGUCGACCGGCGUACGGGUGAGUAACGCGUAUCCAACCUGCCCACCACUUGGGGAUAACCUUGCGAAGGUAAGACUAAUACCCAAUGACGUCUCUAGAAGACAUCUGAAAGAGAUUAAAGAUUUAUCGGUGACGGAUGGGGAUGCGUCUGAUUAGCUUGUUGGCGGGGUAACGGCCCACCAAGGCGACGAUCAGUAGGGGUUCUGAGAGGAAGGCCCCCCACAUUGGAACUGAGACACGGUCCAAACUCCUACGGGAGGCAGCA
rnacentral:rRNA from 1 species